UCGAACGAUUAAAGCUCCCUUCGGGGAGUGCAUAGAGUGGCGCACGGGUGAGUAACACGUAAGUAAUCUACCCUCGGGUGGGGAAUAACAUCGGGAAACCGAUGCUAAUACCGCAUAAUGCAGCGGCACCGCAAGGUGACAGUUGUUAAAGGAGCAAUCCGCCUGGGGAGGAGCUUGCGGCAGAUUAGCUUGUUGGUAAGGUAACGGCUUACCAAGGCUACGAUCUGUAUCCGGUCUAAGAGGACGGUCGGACACACUGACACUGAAUAACGGGUCAGACUCCUACGGGAGGCAGCAGUCGGGAAUUUUGGGCAAUGGGGGAAACCCUGACCCAGCAACGCCGCGUGAAGGAUGAAGUGUUUCGGUAUGUAAACUUCGAAAGAAUAGGAAGAAUUAAUGACGGUACUAUUUAUAAGGUCCGGCUAACUACGUGCCAGCAGCCGCGGUAAUACGUAGGGACCAAGCGUUG
rnacentral:rRNA from 1 species